UCUUCUGAUGGCCAGCUGCAGCGCUCUC
rnacentral:sRNA from 1 species